GAUGAAGAACGUAGCGAAAUGCGAUAAGUAAUGUGAAUUGCAGAAUUCAGUGAAUCUUCGAAUCUUUGAACGCACAUUGCGCCCCCUGGUAUUCCGGGGGGCAUGCCUGUCCGAGCGUCAUUACAACCCUCAAGCUCAGCUUGGUGUUGGGCCCCGCCGCCCCGGCGGGCCCUAAAGUCAGUGGCGGUGCCGUCCGGCUCCGAGCGUAGUAAUUCUUCUCGCUCUGGAGGUCCGGUCGUGUGCUCGCCAGCAACCCCCAAUUUUUUUCAGGUUGACCUCGGAUCAGGUAGGGAUACCCGCUGAACUUAAGCAUAUCAAUAAGCGGAGGA
rnacentral:misc_RNA from 1 species